UGCAGACAGCUCACUGUGUUUGAUCUGUCUGUUGUUACCAUGACUGAGCGUCAGGAUAAUGAUGAGGUGAAGUUAAGCUGCUCUGUGACGAGACGUGGAGACUGUAGACAGACAGUGAAGUGGCUGCUUCAGGGUCGAGAUGUGGAUACAGAUCACAGAGAGA